AGCAGCCGCGGUAAUUCCAGCUCCAAUAGCGUAUAUUAAAGUUGUUGCAGUUAAAAAGCUCGUAGUUGAACUUCGGGGUUUACUCAUUGGUCAGGCUUAAUUGUCUGUACUGGUGAGAUGAAUCUCUACCUUCUGAGGAACUUUCAUGCCAUUUAUUUGGUGUGGUUGGAAAUCAGGACUGUUACUUUGAAAAAUUAGAGUGUUUAAAGCAGGCUAACGUCUGAAUACAUUAGCAUGGAAUAAUGAAAUAGGACGGAUUGAUUCUAUUUCGUUGGUUUCUAGGGUCACCGUAAUGAUUAAUAGGGAUAGUUGGGGGCAUUAGUAUUCAAUUGUCAGAGGUGAAAUUCUUGGAUUUAUUGAAGACUAACUACUGCGAAAGCAUUUGCCAAGGAUGUUUUCAUUAAUCAAGAACGAAAGUUAGGGGAUCGAAGACGAUCAGAUACCGUCGUAGUCUUAACCAUAAACUAUGCCGACU
rnacentral:rRNA from 1 species